rnacentral:misc_RNA from 1 species
AAAGGAUUUGCAUCUUCUUUUUUUUUUUUUAAUUGAUUGAAUAAACCACUGCCUGAAUUAAACCAUUUAUAAUUAUAUAUACUUUUUAAGUACCGUCCUUCGCCCUCAUCAUCAUCCACCACAUCAACCCAAAAGAUGGGGCGAAAUAAUAAUAAUAAUACAUAUGGAAAAAGAAAAAAAAGAAGAUGCAAAUCCUUUGGGAAAAACAAAAUUAAAAAGGAAGGGAAGAUAUAUUUGACUUGACCUAAGCUAACUGCAAUU